CAUCGUUCCUUCUGCUUCAGCACUCAGUUCGUCGUUCCUUCUCGAUCUCGUUUAGUUUGUGAUUGCGGUUCCACUCCCACGCCGACUCGUCUCUAGGGCUGGGCCCAUGACCCGCAACCCGCCAACCCAAACCGAACAACCCUGUGAAACCCUAUUCUGAUAAAUCUGCGUUGAAGAGUGAAGACCAUUAUUUAUCUCACAGCUUCAAAACCUAGCCUCCCUUGUCUCUCCCGUGAAAUUGGUGGCCAAUUAAUCUGAAAGACACCCAUUUUUCCUGCUCCUUCAAGGAAUUGCCUUUUCUUCCAUCACAAUGUCAUCACCGCCGAAACCAGAAUUGGGGGUGGGGUGUUCCUGCUGAAGGGCAAUAAGUUGCUGCUGGGCCACGGCACCUCCGUUGGUCGCAACACCUUAUUUUAAUUUUCCUUUCCAAAGCACGUGGCUUGAGUUUGAUUAGUGUAAAAUACUAUAAUAUAUGUUUCUAGCAUUGCCAGAACCUUAUGUGAAAUGCUAUUAAAGAUGUAAAUGGCUGUCAAAACUUAGAAUUUCGUCUGUAAAGACCGAAAAUAGCGGUUGGUAUUGGUUUGAGAAAUUUUAGGACAUUAUCAGAGCCUAACGUUCCAAACUUUGGCUCAGCCUACGUAAUGAUAAUAAUGAAUAAAAUCACUUGUAUAAUGUUUAUGCACAA